UACGAAGGGGGCUAGCGUUGCUCGGAAUCACUGGGCGUAAAGCGCACGUAGGCGGAUAUUUAAGUCAGGGGUGAAAUCCCAGAGCUCAACUCUGGAACUGCCUUUGAUACUGGGUAUCUUGAGUAUGGAAGAGGUGAGUGGAAUUCCGAGUGUAGAGGUGAAAUUCGUAGAUAUUCGGAGGAACACCAGUGGCGAAGGCGGCUCACUGGUCCAUUACUGACGCUGAGGUGCGAAAGCGUGGGGAGCAAACAGG
rnacentral:rRNA from 1 species